UAAAAAUUACUUAAUUAAAUUAAUUACUUGAUGUACCAACCAUCUUUGGUCUACUAAUUAUGUACAACAAUAUCCUCAAAACACUUGAUCUAUAUUUCGUGUGCUUGGGUUAGAAUAGAAGUUUUCACUCUAAAAGCUUAAGAAACUUGAAGUAAAAUCACCGCCCAUUUUUAAGUAAAUUUUAAUAUCGCAAAAACUAAAUAUUUGGAACUGGUUUCGGUAUAAAGCAUUUACAAGAGAACUUUUUAAUGCAGAUUAGGAAAUUGAACUUUCAUUCCGUUCAAAUGCUGUUUUGGUUCACAAAUUUAGUACCUUGCUUGCCUUGGCGAGGUUUACUCCUAUUUAGCCGUAUAAUUCCGUAGUUAUCGUAGUCACACGUGUUACCUUACAACUGUGCUCUUUAAAUAGGGUUUAAAGAAAUACGAGAAUUUCAUGAAAUCUAUAACAUUCCUAUUUUCCAGAUAAUAGUGCGAUGAUAAGUAUUAUUGUGGUUUUUCUGUUUAAAGAUUUCAACCCUCAUCAACACUCCAUAGAUGUUCCAUUGCCCGACUAUAGAGAGGUGCAAAUAGCAAUUACUCGCCUGAGGAACAACAAAGCGGCAGUGACCAAUGGAUUGCCGACCGAGCUAUUCAAAUACUUCGGCGAAGAACUGACAAGGUGAAUGCAUCAGCUUCUUUACAGGAUAUAGUGGGAUGAAAUCAUACUCGACGAUUGGAGACUAAGUGUGCGCUGCCCAAUCCACAAAAUGGGGGAUUCCACAAUCUGCGCCAAUUACCGUGGUAUAAGCCUCUUUAAUUUCGCAUAUAAGGUCUUAUCGAGCGUGGAGUGUGAAAGACACAACGUCACCGAACUGAUUGGACCUUAUCAGUGUGGCGUUAGACCAGGAAAAUCUACUAUCGACCGUUAGUUCCUUUCUCCAGAAGGGAAGGAAGCGAAGCGUAUGGGUCUGGUUGUAAAUGAGGACAAGACGAAAUUUCUCCUGUCAUCAAACAAACAAUCAUCGCAAUCGCGGCUUGAUUCACACGUCAUUGUUAAGAUUCAUAACUAUGAAGUCGCAUCUUAGAAUCAGUGCCACGUUGUACUGAGUAAAUAAUUGAAAAGUAAAGUCCGACCUCGACUAACAAAGACCUCUACUCCGUUGGAGAGAUCAGGUGGAGGAGGACCUGGCUGCACUUGGUAUCUCAAAUUGGCGCAAAAAGAAGAAACGACUGUCGAGCUAUUGUCAACUCAGA